rnacentral:rRNA from 1 species
CGGAGGAAAAGAAACCAACAGGGAUUGCCUUAGUAACGGCGAGUGAAGCGGCAAAAGCUCAAAUUUGAAAUCUGGCACCUUUGGUGUCCGAGUUGUAAUUUGAAGAAGGUAACUUUGAGUUUGGUCCUUGCAUAUGUUCCUUGGAACAGGACGUCAUAGAGGGUGAGAAUCCCGUUCUGUGAGGUGGCCAUUCUCUUGUAAAGUGCUUUCGAAGAGUCGAGUUGUUUGGGAAUGCAGCUCUAAGUGGGUGGUAAAUUCCAUCUAAAGCUAAAUAUUGGCGAGAGACCGAUAGCGAACAAGUACAGUGAUGGAAAGAUGAAAAGAACUUUGAAAAGAGAGUGAAAAAGUACGUGAAAUUGUUGAAAGGGAAGGGCUUGAAAUCAGACUUGGUAUUCAGUGAUCAACUAUCUUUCGGGAUUGUGCACUCGCUGUUUACUGGGCCAGUAUCGGUUUCGACGGUGAGAUAAUGACUUUGGAAUGUGGCUCCUCGGAGUGUUAUAGCCUUUGUUGAUAUCACCAGUUGGGACCGAGGACCGCGCUUUUUGCUAGGAUACUGGCGUAAUGAUUUUAAGCCACCCGUCUU